rnacentral:tRNA from 2 species
GGUUUCUUGGCGCAGUUGGUUAGCGCGUCUCCUUAACAAUUCUGAUCAGAACGUUAGGGCUUACGGAGGAGGUCGCCGGUUCGAACCCGGCAGAAAUCA